AUAUACGGCCAUAUCAUGUUGAAAGUACUGGUUCUCGUCCAAUCACCGAAGUUAAGCAACAUCGAGCCUAGUGAGUACUUAGAUGGGUGACCGCUUGGGAAACCUAGGUGCUGUAAGCG
rfam:Octopus bimaculoides Scaffold74237_contig_9, whole genome shotgun sequence.